rnacentral:rRNA from 1 species
GAUGAACGCUAGCUACAGGCUUAACACAUGCAAGUCGAGGGGCAGCGGGGAGGAAGCUUGCUUUCUCCGCCGGCGACCGGCGCACGGGUGAGUAACACGUAUGCAACCUGCCCCUGUCAGGGGGACAACCCGCCGAAAGGCGGGCUAAACCCGCGUACAUGCCACCGGGGCAUCCCGGAGGCAGGAAAGGCUUCGGCCGGACAGGGAUGGGCAUGCGGCGCAGUAGGCAGUAGGCGGGGUAACGGCCCACCUAACCGACGAUGCGUAGGGGUUCUGAGAGGAAGGUCCCCCACACUGGUACUGAGACACGGACCAG